CCGAAGCGGAAUGUGACGCCGCGCGGCGGCAAGCAGAAGCGGUCCGAGCACGAUCAGGAAAGCCAUUGCCAGCGACAUGACGGCAGCGACCAUGGUGUAGCCGAUCGAUUCCAGCCGCAGCCAGUACCAGCGGCGUUGUUCGACCACGCUANCGCGGUUGAGGCCGACACGCAGGCUUUCGACACCGUUCGACGCGAAAUAGAUCGCGAGCAC
rnacentral:misc_RNA from 1 species